GAUGAACGCUGGCGGCGUGCCUAAUACAUGCAAGUCGAGCGAACGGACGAGAAGCUUGCUUCUCUGAUGUUAGCGGCGGACGGGUGAGUAACACGUGGAUAACCUACCUAUAAGACUGGGAUAACUUCGGGAAACCGGAGCUGAUACCGGAUAAUAUUUUGAACCGCAUGGUUCAAAAGUGAAAGACGGUCUUGCUGUCACUUAUAGAUGGAUCCGCGCUGCAUUAGCUAGUUGGUAAGGUAACGGCUUACCAAGGCAACGAUGCAUAGCCGACCUGAGAGGGUGAUCGGCCACACUGGAACUGAGACACGGUCCAGACUCCUACGGGAGGCAGCAGUAGGGAAUCUUCCGCAAUGGGCGAAAGCCUGACGGAGCAACGCCGCGUGAGUGAUGAAGGUCUUCGGAUCGUAAAACUCUGUUAUUAGGGAAGAACAUAUGUGUAAGUAACUGUGCACAUCUUGACGGUACCUAAUCAGAAAGCCACGGCUAACUACGUGCCAGCAGCCGCGGUAAUACGUAGGUGGCAAGCGUUAUCCGGAAUUAUUGGGCGUAAAGCGCGCGUAGGCGGUUUUUUAAGUCUGAUGUGAAAGCCCACGGCUCAACCGUGGAGGGUCAUUGGAAACUGGAAAACUUGAGUGCAGAAGAGGAAAGUGGAAUUCCAUGUGUAGCGGUGAAAUGCGCAGAGAUAUGGAGGAACACCAGUGGCGAAGGCGACUUUCUGGUCUGUAACUGACGCUGAUGUGCGAAAGCGUGGGGAUCAAACAGGAUUAGAUACCCUGGUAGUCCACGCCGUAAACGAUGAGUGCUAAGUGUUAGGGGGUUUCCGCCCCUUAGUGCUGCAGCUAACGCAUUAAGCACUCCGCCUGGGGAGUACGACCGCAAGGUUGAAACUCAAAGGAAUUGACGGGGACCCGCACAAGCGGUGGAGCAUGUGGUUUAAUUCGAAGCAACGCGAAGAACCUUACCAAAUCUUGACAUCCUUUGACAACUCUAGAGAUAGAGCUUUCCCCUUCGGGGGACAAAGUGACAGGUGGUGCAUGGUUGUCGUCAGCUCGUGUCGUGAGAUGUUGGGUUAAGUCCCGCAACGAGCGCAACCCUUAAGCUUAGUUGCCAUCAUUAAGUUGGGCACUCUAAGUUGACUGCCGGUGACAAACCGGAGGAAGGUGGGGAUGACGUCAAAUCAUCAUGCCCCUUAUGAUUUGGGCUACACACGUGCUACAAUGGACAAUACAAAGGGCAGCGAAACCGCGAGGUCAAGCAAAUCCCAUAAAGUUGUUCUCAGUUCGGAUUGUAGUCUGCAACUCGACUACAUGAAGCUGGAAUCGCUAGUAAUCGUAGAUCAGCAUGCUACGGUGAAUACGUUCCCGGGUCU
rnacentral:rRNA from 1 species